CAGUCGCCGCGGUAAUACGUAGGUGGCAAGCGUUGUCCGGAAUUAUUGGGCGUAAAGCGCGCGCAGGUGGUUUAAUAAGUCUGAUGUGAAAGCCCACGGCUCAACCGUGGAGGGUCAUUGGAAACUGUUAAACUUAGUGCAGGAGAGAAAAGUGAAAUUCCUAGUGUAGCGGUGAAAUGCGUAGAGAUUAGGAGGAACACCAGUGGCGGAGGCGGCUUUUUGGCCUGUAACUGACACUGAGGCGCGAAAGCGUGGGGAGCAAACAGGAAUAGAUACCCGUGUAGUCCCUGUCUCUUAUACA
rnacentral:rRNA from 1 species